rnacentral:snRNA from 1 species
GUGCCUGUUCAUAUACACUACAAUUAUAACAAUACAGAAUAUUAGCAUGGCCCCUGGGCAAUGAUGACAUACAAAUUCAUGAACCAUGCUAUGUUUUA